GAAUUGACCUCGAAGCUGACAGAGCAGGCAGACAACCAGGGAAGCGAUAUGGAGGACCAUCAGCAGCCUUCUGAAUCAACCUUGAAACUGACAGAGCAGCCAGACAACCAGGGAAGCGAUAUGGAGCAGCCUUCUGAAUCAACCUCGAAGCUGACAGAGCAGCCAGACAACCAGGGAAGUGAUAUGGAGGACCGUCAGCAGCCUUCUG